rnacentral:lncRNA from 1 species
UGUGCUUGUACAUCAAACUCGACACAGCUUCAUAAACAUUUGGGUUGAAGCCGGCUACAGCAGUGAGGAAACUGAAAGUGUGUCUCAAAUCAACACAUGGACAGCGCUCUGAAAAUCACCAGUUCUUUGUUGAGUUAGAAUUCAGAACAGAUUUCUUCUCAUUAUCAUUGCUAUUCUUACAAUCAUCUUUAUAACUGUGACAUACAGAGGUUAUUACAGGGCAAAAGAUGGUCCUUGCCUCAAAGAAGGUCACAAUUUAAACUUAAGGCAAGAAACUAUUAAGAACACAAGAUAGAUGAAAAGGGAAAUGAUUGUUAAUUGGAGAGGAUAUUUUGUUGUCAAAGACAACAAUAUUUUUCUACUUUUUUUCUUUUUUGUCAGAUAUUGUGGGAAAAAAUUCAAAAGAUGAUUCUGAAUGAUAGUGAGACAGAGCAGAAGAUGUUUAUGGGAUUAUAUCCCCAGCAUGGUACCUCAGAAUGUAACCUGCUGAGCUUGAGCUGUAGAAGCAAAGGUGAUCAGAAAUGGGACAGAUGGGUUGAGAAAGGGCAGAGACAGCAGGCCCAAGGGAAGCAGCUGUAAAGAAACAGGUCAGAGAGAGAAGACUGGGGAUACGUUUCCCUUACAUGUUUAAUCUUCACAGUAAUUGAAUUCCUUUUUUUCUUAUUUUAACAGAUAAUACAUAGUGACACCAUAUAAUAUGUGCGAUAGUAUGUAUGUCAACUGUGUCUCCUCUUGAGAGACUGAGAUUAAAAAGGUGGAAAUUGUAAAUGCUCUGGGGUCUCAGAAUAACAUUCUUUUCUAUGGGAAUGAAGUUUUUCCAUUUAGGUUUUGCUGAUUAUUACUUCUUGGGAAAGCUAUUACACAUGCAGCUGAAAAAAAGGUAUGUAACAACAUACAUUAAGUUUUAGGGGUGAGUCUUCUUUCGCCAAACUCUAUUAAAGUCCAAAAAACACAUCCAUCUUGAAGCAUUAACCUGCCCCUCUAACUGUAAGCUUAAACCCACCACACCAACUCUUCCCUUACAGUUAAUGGAGGGAAGAAGGUACUUCCAAAGGGGAAGUGCAAGAGGAAAUAUACUACAUAAGGUCAACAUUUUAUAUGUCUGAAUUAAAGUAGAUAUGUCCUGCACUGUGGGUGUGAGCAUCUGUUACCAUUUGAAAUGCUCAGUUAUUUCCUUAUUUGCACUGAGGGCACAGAGAUCCGUUAGGUUCAGUGACAUAUAUGCUAGACAUGAUGGAUGUCUCUGAUACUGUGUGACAUCUCAGAUGUCUCUAGGGGACUUUGUGUGGGCAACUAAGCAGAGUCCUUUCCGCCUACAUAGGGA